rnacentral:rRNA from 1 species
UGGGGAAUAUUGCACAAUGGGCGCAAGCCUGAUGCAGCAACGCCGCGUUAACGAUGAAGGUCUUCGGAUCGUAAAGUUCUGUUGCAGGGGAAGAUAAUGACGGUACCCUGUGAGGAAGCCCCGGCUAACCACGUGCCAGCAGCCGCGGUAAUACGUAGGGGGCUAGCGUUAUCCGGAUUUACUGGGCGUAAAGGGUGCGUAGGUGGUCCUUCAAGUCGGUGGUUAAAGGCUACGGCUCAACCGUAGUAAGCCGCCGAAACUGGAGGACUUGAGUGCAGGAGAGGAGAGUGGGAUUCCCAGUGGAGCGGUGAAAUGCGUAGAUAUUGGGAGGAACACCAGUAGCGAAGGCGGCUUUCUGGACUGAAACUGACACUGAGGAACGAAAGCGUGGGUAGCAAACAGG